AGCGUAGCGCAGUGCUAGCGCAGCGCUCGACUGACCCCUGUCGGAUCAACGACUUAGGCGUGCUCGCGCUCAGAUCAUAAUCCUUGUGUCGGGGGUUCAAAUCCCUCCCUCGCUACCA
rnacentral:tRNA from 1 species